GGUUCGACUCGAGCGCCAGCGAGAGAGCGUUGCCGCAGGCAACGACCCGAAGGGCGAAGCGCGCAGCGUUGAGUAAUCCUUCCCCCACCACCA
rnacentral:sRNA from 1 species